CAUUAAGUGGCUGAAAAUUUUAAGCAUUGGUCUCUUAAACCAAAAUAUAGUACGAUAUUAAUACUCUUAAUGA
rnacentral:tRNA from 1 species